CACUUUUAGACAGAGCUAGUCCUACCAUAUAUCCACACUCCCUGAGGGAAUACGACUUUAUCCCAAUAACAACAAUAAUAGGCCAAGGGAGCAAUGAAGUCUCAGAGCGGCAAUUAUAUCACCCUCGUGCGAAUUGGGUUAGUUGAAUGGAUUGGGUUAGCUGAAUGAAAAGAAAGGAACGCCCCCCCGCAUUAUCAACGAGAUAUGCAGCUCUGUUCGCGCCGAGAGUAAAUUAGCCUGCUGGAAGUUGCAGGGGCUUAGCGUGGAAGAGGCGGGUGCUGGUUCGCGAGCCGUAGCAGUCGGCUAGGAGUCGUAAACAGAAUCCAGCCAAACUUCUUAAUUGAAAGCUAGCAUAAAUAAGUGAUGACAGUAAAUGAAUUGCGUUCUAGAAGGUUUCCGGUUUUCACGCCAGAUUGGUCGUGGACAAUGAGCGAGGUGCUCUAUUCGACUCCUCCUCUUUGGCUUUGCUUGAUAUGGCUUUGCUCAGAAUAAGCUCACAUUAUGUGCGCUCAACCAUCUACACAUUAAAUACGCAUCUCAAGAAGACAACAGCGUGGCAAGAUAAAUAGCAUUAUCGAUUACUCUCGUGUUCACUGGUACAUGAAGAGAUAGAAGCCUAAUAAUUAUGGUAACAUAAACGGACACUCGCUAGACACGGGUUAAACCAUCUAUACACCCGAUUUUAUCGCUCCACUCGACACAAAAUAUUUAACAGUUUUAAGUCUUAAGUGUUGAGAGUAAAAUCAAGAGGCUAGGAACUCUAUUUUGCGGUCGCACGCACAUCGUUAGAAAUACCCAAGGUUUCGCAAAAGCAUGCGCGAUUCCUCCUUGCGAGUUCACAAUCCGUUAGCGGAAACGUUACAAAUUAAAUCUGACAGCUUCUCGGUGACUUGCAGUGAUAUCCCAGGUGGCACCAUUCCACCACAGCUAGCGUGUUCCUUGAAGACUCAUUAACGUGAUUAGCGUUGGAGCCCGCAACACAAUUAGUGUAUAACACGGAGUAGCGCAGCAUUUGGCCAUCCCUUCUCGUAUCUAGACCGGGAGCCGAUCGGAACAAGCUUGAGUUUUUAUUCAAAAUCUGCCUAAGGGCAGUGGAUAUUAUCCAGCUCAAUGUUUUUUGUAAAUAACUCAGCGCGAGAUGUAUCGAUGUAUGCUAAGUAAACAGAAUAUUGGAAAACACUCAACCUUUACGGCCCCUCGCUGCGCGACAGGUACGCAUGCUCCUUACAUCUGCUAACCACAGCGCAGCUAAGAUGGGUACUCACAAGAUAGGCUUACAACGUCUAGUUCAGUAUCUAGUGGCUGUCCUCGGCGAGCUCUGCUAUACAAUAUAGUAAUACUCUAGCAGGAUAAUUAUAUUAAGGUCAGGAGCUUGUCACAGUCGGGGUGGUAUUGAAACCUCUUCAUCGAUCAAACAAGAAGAAAGGGCUUAAUAUAAUCUAUAGAGCAGCCCUUGGGCGAUUUGGUGAGGUUUAAAAAGCGAUAGAAUAGCUAUCAUGUCGCCUUCACUGUUGUCUUGUCUUUUUUUCAAAGGUAUUCAAUUAACCUGCACUUUAGCUCCUUAAUAUAGCACGUGUGAAGCGAUAUCUACACAUCACAAAAAAACGUUUGGGAGACACGGGUAUUACAAGCGCUCCCGUAGAAUCACCUUCUCACACAAAGAAAACUCACCCGAAAAAAAGUCAUUCUUAUGACUCCUACCUCGACCCAGGGCGCCAAUCUAAUGGAAAAAUAGCAUCAGAGUUCAAUUAAAGUUAAAGGCAAUUUAGUUUUGUAGCAGGGUGGACAGCCGUCUUAGUACACGUGAAACGGGAGAAAGUCUGGAUUCGCUGAAAGGGAAACUCUAUCACACCUGCAACCUUCCUCCAGAAAGAGCCCCGUAGUGCGGCGUUCUUUGGGUAAUCACAAAAAUUAACCUCAAAUUCUGUUAGCGAGCCACUCCUCGAACUCAUCUUAAACAUCUUUAAUAUUCUCUUAGGAACUCUAGUUUGUAUCUUCAGUCAGUAAUUAGUGAAGCGGUUAUUAUUUGGAGCUCAGGUUCGACGGGAAUUGCAAAAGUUUAAGGGGGAACCGCAAUUUCUCGUUUGAUCUUGAAGCCGUAUUGUUUAGAUAAUAUAUACAGCAAACAUCUCCCAAUUUUCAUAGUUAAUCCAAUUAUUUAGGGGUAUUAAAUAUAUGAAUUUAAAGACUAGUCAAAAUAACCAUACAUGCCAAUUUCACUACGCAGCCCAGCAAUUACUUAGUGCAAGACUUUGUCGGGUUUUUCUUUGACUCUAUUUGGAUAACUCGUGUGUAUACACAUGCAAAGAGGGUAGAUAUGUUUACUAUUUUUAUUUUAGUUUGUGCCAAAACCUGGGAUAUAUUUAUUAUCAAAUCAGCCGUUAUAUUUUCCAUUUUUGUGUUUUGUUUUUCUUUGCUGAUGACACAAAAUAUGGGUAUCUUUUUCGGAACUUUUGAAAAUGUUAUCAAAAUUGAUCUGUACAGAAGAUGAGCAUACGAUCACACCAUCGUACCAUCCUCGCAAAUUACGCUAAACACUCGAGUUCAGCAAAGGUAGAAAGCACUUUAGUCCUGUCCAUCAAAAUCUCCGGCGACGCAUGUGUAUCAUCGCAAUUCUUAAGAAAGAUGAAUGUCUCAAAAUGUGCGAUAAAAAUGAUUCGAGAGUAGACCUAGUGACCAACAUGUAACAGAUCCAAGAUAGGCAAAAAGGUGAACCGAGACCUGAAUACACUGAAUAAUUCAUAACUAGAUAGAGCUUUUUCGGGAACCGAACCAACGGAAUGGUAGAUAUUGAGGUUACAGAAAGCAUUUAAAGUAGAAUGACUGAUCUGAUUUGUUGAUUGAUAAGACAUAGAAAUACUUGCAGUACAAUGCCAAUCACGAAACUGUCUGCUUGAGUAUAGUAUUUCUUAAACUCGUGCCGUUCUAUAGCUAAUUGAUAACGUUAAAAUCACACAAAAGAACCCUGUCGGUACACGUGCGGGAACCGAAAGCCACGGGGAAAUUAGAGAACAUUACUUGGAAAGCCACCAAAAGGAAUUUUAGUGGCAAAAAUUAUUUGACAUUUUUUCUUAAUUUUGUUUCGCAUCAUGGCAGAAAAAGCAUGUUACUUUUACCGCAUUUAUAACGGGAUUGAAAAUUAGACACCCGAUGACAAUUCUCAAUCAAAGAAGAAGACUUUAGCGUCAUUGAAAAUUGACACUAAUUUCUAAGAUUGUCAUAUUUCAAAACUUAUAAAA